AUCCAUCUGACGAGUCCCAAAUAGAACGAAACGCGCAUCCUGGAU
rnacentral:hammerhead_ribozyme from 1 species